UACAGAGGGUGCGAGCGUUGUCCGGAAUUACUGGGCGUAAAGGGUGUGCAGGCGGGAGUGCAAGUGGUGUAUGAAAACGUCCGGCUUAACCGGGCGCUGUUAUGCCAGACUGCAGUUCUAGAGGACGAGAGAGGGGCGUGGAAUUCCGGGUGUAGUGGUGAAAUGCGUAGAGAUCCGGAGGAACCCCGAGAGGCGAAGGCGACGCCCUGGCUCGUACCUGACGCUCAGCCACGAAAGCAUGGGGAGCGAACGGGAGUU
rnacentral:rRNA from 1 species